rnacentral:tRNA from 1 species
GUAAAUAUAGUUUACAUAAAACAUUAGACUGUGAAUCUAAAAACAGGGUAUACUAAAUCCUUAUUUACC